GCCGCCUUAGCUCAGCUGGUAGAGCAACGCUCUUGUAAAGCGUAGGUCGUCGGUUCGAACCCGACAGGCGGCUCCC
rnacentral:tRNA from 1 species